CGAAAUGCACCAGGCGAUAGCGGAAGUAGUCGGUGAAGGGUUCUCGCGGGCCUAUCGCCGAAGUGUUCAUGAACCAGGCGCGGGAGUCGUGCACCUGUUCGUCGAACAGCGCCACCAGCUUUUCCUGGCCCGGCGCCACCCGGUCGGGAGCGCUGAACAACUGGUGGUAGCGCGCGCUGCCGUCGCGGUGGAUCUGGCUGU
rnacentral:sRNA from 1 species